GAUGAAUUGUCACCGGACAACGUUAACCCAACUUCCUUAGGUCAUUGUGGAAGUUGGGUGGACGUUGUCCUUUUU
rnacentral:ncRNA from 1 species